UUUAGUGGUUGACCUCGGAUCAGGUAGGAAUACCCGCUGAACUUAAGCAUAUCAAUAAGCGGAGGA
rnacentral:rRNA from 1 species